UCGAAUUAUCUGUCGUUCGUACCAGGGC
rnacentral:sRNA from 1 species